rnacentral:rRNA from 1 species
GAUGAAAAACAUAGUAAUUUGUGGAAAUUGCUGUGAUUUGUGAAAUUUUGUGAGCAUUGUGCUUUUGAAUGAAAAUUUCAGCAUUGAUGUACUCGUAUCUAUGCUACAUUUGUUUCAGUAUCUAUGCAUAAACUAUAUUUCUUUACUACUGCUACGAUGCAAUGGUAUUAAUUUUCUAAGAUCAC